UUUAGAAUUACCCAGAGAUCUCGUUAAAAUGCAGAUCCUGAUUCAUUCAGUAUGUCUGGGUCAGGCUUGAGAAUCUGCAUUUCUAACAAGUUCCUAGGUGAUGCCUAC
rnacentral:pre_miRNA from 1 species